rnacentral:rRNA from 1 species
CAAUAGCGUAUAUUAAAGUUGUUGCAGUUAAAAAGCUCGUAGUUGGAUUUCUGGAUGGAGCGACCGGUCGGGCAUUAAUUUGUCUGCACUGGAGUCGGUUCCGUCCAUCCUCUUGGAAAGUGCGUCGGGCAUUAAGUUGUUUGGCGUAUGAUCCAAGUCGUUUACUGUGAAAAAAUUAGAGUGUUUAAAGCAGGCCUUCGCCUUGAAUACAUUAGCAUGGAAUAAUAAGAUAGGACUUUGGUCUAUUUUGUUGGUUUGCAGACCGAAGUAAUGAUUAAUAGGGAUAGUUGGGGGUAUUUAUAUUCCGAUGUCAGAGGUGAAAUUCUUAGAUUUUCGGAAGAUAAACUUAUGCGAAAGCAUUUACCAAGGAUGUAUUCAUUAA